AGUGGUGGUGGCGUCGGCGGCGGCGGCGGCGGCAGCCGGAGCGAGCAGUAGCCGAGCUGUGACAGAGCUCCUUGCUGCUCAAAUUUUAUGCCAGAUAAAAUAUUCACCUUCUCGGACUCCCUGGCACCAGGCAUGGCCAUGUAAUCCUACAGCACAGCUGAUGAAAGAGAAGACAUCUUGCUGCUAUUUGACAAGCAAGAAGAUAAAAGCUUUCCUAUAAAGAUGAUGGAGCAAAAAAAUAGAAGGGGCCUAGACUCCCUACCUUCACACUUCCUGCUAUAAAAGCAUUGCUAUUAUAAGGUUAAUCUGCAGAAACAGACUUCUAUGUCAUAUGCUUAAAUGCAUCAAAAUUCAUACAAUAUCCAUUAAAUUGGUAAAAGUAUCCAUUUUAAAGGAUUAAUCUGAGGGACCCACAGACACUUAACACAAUCAAAUCUCAGAAAAAAAAUCAGUUAUUUCAUUGUGAUUUUGAGGCUGAUCUUUUAUGAUCUUUUAGUUAUCAAACUGUUAAAUACAUUUUAACUUUCAAAUUUUAUGAAUAAAGGAGAUGAAUCCUGUUAUU
rnacentral:lncRNA from 10 species